UUCCUCAACCUCUUUCAUUUUUGAGGCGUCCUUCUCUUCCUUCAUUGUCACGUCCUCCUUGAGCUUUCUCUCCUUCUCUUGCAGGUGCAGUCUCUGAGCCUCCACCUCUUUCCUCUCCAUCUCCAUUUUCUCCUCCAUUCUCUUUUUCUCCAUCUCAAGCAUCUUCCACUCUUGCUCCACCCUUGACUUGCUCAUUCCCUCCUCAUUUCUCUGCAUCUCCAUCUUUCUUUUGCCCUCCAGCAGUUGUGCUUUCAGGAGAUUCACUUUCUCCUGCACCGCCUUCAAUUCCUCUUCAACUCUCCUUUUUUCAGUUUCAAUUUUUUGACAUUCAUCCUCCAACUCUUUCUUUCUCAUGAGAACCUUCUCUUUCUUCUUUGCUAACUUCUCCCUGAGCCUCAUCUCGUUUUCUUCAAGUUUCUCUUUCUGCACCUCCACCUCCUUCAGACCUUUCUCCAUUUCUUCCCUCAUUCUCUCUCUCUUUGCAUCAGCCUUUCUUUUCUCACCCUCCAACUCUUUCUUUCUGUUCACAUAUUCUAGCUCUCUUUGUUGAGUCUCUCUUAGCUUUAUUUCUUCAAUCUCCAGUCUAUCUUGGUCAACUCUAGCCUUCAUUUCCUCUACCGCCCUCUUCUCCUCCAUCAGUUUCACUCUCUCUUUUUCAAUGCUUCCCCUCUCCUUUUCAAGAGCCUUCUUUCUUAUUGCGUCCUUUCCCCUCUCGAUGGCUUCCUUCCCUCUCUGCUUUUCCUCUCCCACCUUCCUUUUCUUCCUCAGGAUCUCCAGCUCAAUUCUCUCUGUCAAUUUCAUUUCUUCCACUUUGCUUCUCUCUGCCUCAAUCCUUUUCCACUCCACCUCAGUUUGUCUUUCUUCCUCCCUUAUCCUCCUCUCCUCCCAUUUUCUCUUCUCACUUUCAGCCAUUCUUGAUAUUGCCAUGUCUAUCCAUUUCUCCCUCUCCCUCUCCUUCUCCCUCUCCUUCUCCUCCUUCUCCUUCUCCUUCUCCCUCUCCUUCUCCUCCUUCUCCUUCUCCUUCUUCUCCUUCUCCUUCUCCCUCUCCUUCUCCUCCUUCUCCUUCUCCUUCUUCUCCUUCUCCUCCCUCUCCCUCUCCUCCUUCUCCUUCUCCUUCUCCUUCUCCUUCUCCUUCUCCUUCUCCUUCUUCUUCUCCUUCUCCCUCUCCUUCUCCUUCUCCUUCUCCUUCUCCUUCUCUGCUUAAAAGUGAUGUAAGCAAUGUAUGAUUUUCUAAGAUGAUAGUACUCAAACAUUAUUCGGAUACAGAAUAGGUGUUUUAUUGUGAGUUUCCAUUAGAUGAAUACAUGACUGCAAUGGAUAAGUUAUGAAUAACAC
ensembl:lncRNA